GGUUACCGGUGGUGGCGAGAACUUGUAGUUUUAUAACCACAGGGAUUCCGGGGACUCCUUCCGCCCCGGUGACGAAGCCAGCCCAGCCGGGCACCCCCGGCAUCCCCAGCCAUAGUUUUCUACUCUCUCUCUCGGAGCUAAUAUUUGAAUCGCUCCCUUUUGUUCUCGCUCUUGCAGAGGAGCUAAUAUUUUGAACUGCUCCAUCCCUUCAGCGCCCCCUUCUCCCACCAAUCUGCGGUGCCUCCCGCCUUCCGACCGGUGACGGGAUAUCCACAUCUCCCCCGUCCAUUUCCGAAGCUGCUGAUCACCAGAAGUUUUUUUCCUGGUGAUACCCUUUGUUGACAGAAUCUAUCUGUCCAUAUAUAUCUUCCUUCUUUUAUCAUCUCCUACUUCAAUAUCCUUUUAGCGGGGGACGGCAUGGAGACGGCUGAUGGCAUAGCACGAGAGGGAACCUUCGACGGCAGUGGAGGAAACCUUCCUCGGAAGCUAGCCUUGCAAGGACUCUUCCUGAUGUCACUGGCUUUGGCAUGUCUCUUCCACCCACUACAAGAAGGCCUCUCGCCUCGCGAGUCCUUCCCCGCGGCCUUCUACUAUCUUGCUCUCUUGGUUCUCUUCCUCUCCGGUCAAGGGUAUAUGCUGCUGAGCUUGUGGGCUUCCUACCAUCCUAUUUCACGAAGUGCCCUGGCCAAGCAGCUUGUCAAGUGAGCGACGGUUGCAGCCUGGUUCCUGUUAUGUUAUACCUUUUGCUUCUAUUGUAGUUUGCAAAGGACCACCGUCCAUAUGGUACAUGUGUGCAAAAUAUAAACAAAAGAAAAAACUAAGGGGGGACUGUACUAAUAUUUGAUGUAUGCCCGCUAUAUUUGGUGAAAUAUAAUGUUACCUUAUUUUCUUAUAGAGGGCUUUGCAUUUGCGAUGAGAUUGGUUGGAGUCUUGCUAUAACGCACAAAAGUGACCACCUAUCAAGGCUUGUUGAAAUGAGUUCAACGCAUAAAUGUACCACCGCGACGGAGGGAACGAUUAGAAAUAGACGUUACCCAUCAUGUUUCGCUGCAGGUUCUAGAAAGGCUCUGGGCUUUGGAGAGAGAAGAUUUCAUGCACGGAUUUUAUUUGAUGUGCAAAUAUGGCCCCAGAAUCGUAGAACUUUUAACCGGUAGAUCUUCCAAAUGAGGAACACAAUCCUCCAUGUUGCAAUCAAUAGCUAGCC
rnacentral:lncRNA from 1 species